UACAGAGGUGGCAAGCGUUGUUCGGAAUUACUGGGCGUAAAGGGCGAGUAGGUGGCCAUCUAAGUCAGACGUGAAAUCCCCCGGCUUAACCUGGGAACUGCGUCUGAUACUGGACGGCUUGAGUAUGGGAGAGGAACGUAGAAUUCCAGGUGUAGCGGUGAAAUGCGUAGAUAUCUGGAGGAAUACCGGUGGCGAAGGCGGCGUUCUGGACCAUUACUGACACUGAAUCGCGAAAGCGAGGGGAGCAAACGGG
rnacentral:rRNA from 1 species